AUCACACCUAACCGCGAAGUCAGCAGCGCAGCUAACGCAGCUAACGCAGCUAACGCAGCUAACGUCAGCUGCUACUUUUAAGACACAUGACGGCCACGAAAGUCUGCACCAAGGGCUCAUUACAUCUGCUGUGCGUCAUGUCUCCGUGUUAGCAGAGAGGCAGCAGCGAGCGCGUCUCUGGAUCUGAUGAAGAGUGUGUGUUGCCUGAACUUUCGGCUCAGCCUCAGCACUGAUGCUUUUAUCCGCUCAUUUAAAGGAAGGAUCAGGACUGUAAAUGCACGAGGGGAGCCUGUGGACAGCCACUGGGACCUGGGACCUUCUGCUUCCCAGGCCAUUGCUCUAUCUACUACCUGUCUACUUUGAUUUGAAAGAGCUGUAACAUUUCUUGCAUGCCCUAUUGUCCUAUUGUUAAAAUGACACCUUGACUUCUUCUUCUUCUUUACUUAAAAGAUAAAGAGCCAGUGUUUUGGGGUUUAUUAGCAGUCUAUGUGUAAUUGGAUAAUUUUGCGAUUUCCUGACUUCCAUUUUAAGCUUGUAGAAAGAACAGAUGCUGCUUACCAAUUCAGUUAUGCAAAGCAGAUUAACUUUGGCACCUUGCAAAUCACCAGGUUUAUUCAUGAGUGAAAAAUUACACAAUUGCUAAACAGGAGCGGCUCUUACUGCUUGUGAUGUUCAAAAAUGAUUCGACUACUUUGAGUUAGUUAUUUUUCAAUCAGCACAUCUGUUCUCCUACAUUUCUUUCACACAGUGCUGACACACCCAAUAAUGCUAUUCUGCUGAUAAAACCUAGGCAAUGUACCAUCCGUUUGUUUUUGAAAAAUCCCUGCUGUAUAGCAUUUACAUACACCAAGUUAAAUCAAGAGAUAACAUGCUUUCAGUCAGUCAAAAAAGCUAAUGUUAAGAUAAUUCUCAGGUGUUUACCACAGUCACCCAGCAGGCACACAACCAACCUUCAGUGUUAAAAUAAGGUUGAAAUAAUGUCAGUUGUCGAUGUGAUGUUGAUGUAAUGUUGAAACAACGUUAAUGCUAAUGGUUGUAAAAAGGUUAACAAAAUACCUAUUAAUCAACUUUGCAAGUUUCAGUUGUUAUCAUGACGUUGAUAAAAACAACAAUACUAACGAUUGUAAAAAGGUUGACAAAAUGCUUAUAAAUCAACAUUGAGAUAUGGUGGAAAUAAUGUCAAACAACAUUUAAUGCUAAUGGUUGUAAAAAGCCAAAAAAAAUAUUUAUAUUAAACUGACCGAUUGUCUUUAACAUAUAUUAUUAGCCAUACUUAUUUACUAUAGAUGUAAAUAAUCAUUUCAAUUAAUAUUUUUUUUUAUAAAGUUUUGGUCAUGCAUUCCAUUUUUAGCUGUUUUAUUGAGUUCUCUUCAUAGAUUGUAUUUGGUUCUCAAAAUGUAUCAAUUGUCACCCAAAUGGUGAUGGGAAGACACCCAGCAACUGUUUUUGAAAGAGCACGGCGACGUAGCAGCUAUUUUUAAAACGUAAGUCAAAAUUAUUUGAACAAAUUAGUAGACUGUUAGUCCAUGGUUAUGUUUGAACGUAAGUGUCCUUAACGGAAUUUUCUUACAUUGGUUCAAAUAUGCAGAAUUUAUGAAAAUGAUCUAAAUUUGUGUUUUGAUUUUUGUUCUUAGAUGCUAUCAUUAAAACUUAUGAUACUACAUCCUCAAAUGUAUGGAAAACAAUUAACAUUUAUGUACCAGAGUGAUUGGGUGGUGGUGGAACAAAGAUAGAACUUUAAGUGUUUCUGUUUCAUGUUGUCUUCCAGCAGCCAGGUGGCGCUGUUUCGUCCAGUGUUUGCCCUGUUUGUUUAUUUGUGGUGUCAUGUGAUUUCCAUGUUUGCUUCUCGUUUGUAAUGGUGAUCAUUUGUUUCACAUGUGGGAAUAGUUUGGUAAGUUAGUUUGAUUAAUGUUUACUUAUUGUCAGUUUUAAUGUCAAUUUUAAUGACAGUGUGAGUUGCAAUAUUGGUGAUGCUAGAUUUAACUGACUUAAAUGGUAUCUUUACAUUUUACACUUUCUACACUUUACACAGAUUUAUUAUGUCUGUAUUUAUUUAAUGUGAGUUGCUCAAUGUUCAAUGCUGGUCCGUAAGAAAACUUCAUGUGUUUUGUCCGAACAUGUUUUAUUGGUACACAAAGGAAAGCAUGUGAAAGAAAGCGGCAGUAUAAACGCUAAAGUUACACAGUGUAUGUUUUGAUUUAUUGUACAUUUCCAUUCCCCCUUAUGUAUGUGUGCAGCCAGUGAGGUUGUGAGUGAUUAUUUUACGUUUGUUUCCUGUCAGUCAUUAAUUUUUGUAUCUAUGUUGUAGUUUGACGGUGGACAUUGGUGGAUUUCGGUGGAUGACAUAACAAACAAAAAGUAGCAACAAGCACGGCUCAACCAGGCGGUCUAUGGUCACCAGAGCGACCACAUCGUCAUGCUACCUGACCAAUCCACCUGCAGCCGCUAACGGAUUGACCCCCUGACGACAUCUCUGUCUCCUCCACCUCUCCAUUGGCUCCGACACCUGCCUCGGACUCCCGGCAGCUCCUCUCCUCUUUGGACUUUUUAGCUCCCUGAUCUGAGCUUCCAUAGAUCCAAUUUCACCUCUGUACUCUAGCAAUAAAUAUUGCCUGUUCUGCAACCAGUCUCUGGGUCUGAGUCUGCUCACUCACAGUUUGGUACACAGCCAUGUUUUAACAGGUUGUGCUGUGCUUUAACUGUUUUGCAUCUUUCAAAAUCAACAGUUAAUUCAACAUGAAUGCAAGGUUGAUAAAAAGCCAUAAAUCAACAUAAAUGCAAGGUUGAUAAAAAAACAUAAAUCAACGUAACAUUGAUGAAUGACCAUAAAUCAGCGUAAAUGUAACGUUGACACUCCAUAACCAAAAUGCAACAUUAAAAAAACG